UGGGACCUGUCCAACGUUGGCAUCCCCCGAUUAUCCACCAUGCAUAUUGACUCGGUGAGCUCAUAAGAGUGUCUUUUAGUGGUGUGUCCUCCAUAGCUGCCUCCAGCCUCAGCAUAGGGGUGUGAACU